rnacentral:lncRNA from 1 species
CCAUGUGCAAGGAAUAAGUGGAGGCGCCAAUCCAUUUGGAGUGUGUGUCAGCAUGUCUGACACGUGACUGUCUUGUCUCCUGCAUGCUGAACAAGUCACUUCUUGAUAGCUUGCAUGGUUGACACAUCACUUCGGAGUAUCUUGCAUGUCCGACGCGUCAUUUCGGAGUAGCUUGCAUGUCAGACACGUCACUCCGAACUAGCUAGCAUGUGAGACAUUUCACUCAUCUAUUUAAGUGUCUUACUAUUAACAUCCAAG